GUUAGGAAUGAUUCAGUUAUACUAGCACAUCAGGAAGUAGCAAAUGUAGUUGCUUAAAAUGUUCUUCAACUGCAUGUUUAUAGUGGCAACCUUAUCUAUUUAGAGCAGGAAAAGCAUCAAAGACUAAAGUGUCUACUAUUUAACAAGUGUGAAUUAGAAUUUCGAUUUGAAUUGACACUUUCAGGGCUAUCGAAGCUUCUCUAGUAACUUAUAUCCCAGGAAUUAAUUUCAAGCCUUCCAAAUCAAAGCUAUUGCAGUUACAUGCCUAACACCACCACAAAACAAAGACAUGGGGAGUAGAAGGCAGGCAAUUUAGAGGGUAACAGAUAAUACAGCUACACUAACCAAGAACAUCAUCCUAAGACCACAAAAUUUACACUUCACGUCCACAAAAGAACAUUUUGCGAACAACCAUAAUCUAUCAGUGGAAUCACAUCAUAACACCCACAAAGGUGAAGAAUCACAUACAACACCAUAAACUAAGGGAAUAUUGUAGACCCAUGACCAGAUUUCAUUUCUAAGGGAAAGAGCUUUAAAAGGGAGAAAUCAUCUGUUCAAAAUAUUUCUCUCACAAAAUGACACUGCAUCCACUACAUAUUUGAUGGAUAAGAACCAUGAUUUCAUAGCUCAGAUGUUGACUUAAUGAGCUAGUGUCAAGCCUCAAACCCUAAGUUCCUUCUCAUAAAGAAAAGGGAAAAGGAAAAAAGGUCCCUACACCAGCGGUAAAUUACAAGGAACACAACACAAAAUAUGAAAAUACGAGCCUGUGUUCCAGGUAAAAUUUACUUAACAGAACCAAACCAUCCUUUAACUUAUUAUAUUCCUCUGUAAGCUAUAGACAAGUUUUCCCAAGUGUAACAAUGUAUAGCAUCCCAAUAAUAAACCAUGUGACGACAUUAUAUAUACCUCCAUGACCAUCAUAGACACCAAAAAAGGAUGUUGAAGCAUCCAAAUCAGCUAUUGCUGCAUGCUAAAAAAAGGAGUAGGACAAAAG